AUGCGGGAGCGCGUCGAGUUCCUCCGCUCCCUCGGCCUCGGCCCCGACGACCUCGCCACCUACCCGCUCGCCCUCGGCUGCAGCGUCCGCAAGAACAUGGUCCCUGUCCUUGACUACCUCGGCAAGAUCGACGUCCGUCGCAACAAGCUCCCGCACCUGCUCCGCCGCUACCCGCAGGUGCUCCACGCCAGCAUCGUCGUCAACCUCGCGCCUGUCGUCAAGUACCUCCAGGGGAUGGACGUCAAGCCCGGCGACGUGUCGCGCGUGCUCGAGCUCUACCCAGAGCUCCUCGGCUUCAAGCUCGAGGGCACCUAUGAUCCAGUUUUCGAUGGAAACACACCAAAUUCCAAACUAAAUGGCGCCAGCAGCCUGACUAGCAACUCUGGACUAUCCACUAUCUGGAGGCAGGAGUGGUGGACUUCUCCUCUCCAGGCAUUCUGA
rnacentral:rRNA from 1 species